UUAUAGAUUGUUUGUUUGUGCCAUUUCACUUUUGGAUGUGGCAACUGAGACCUAGAGAGAUCAGGAGAGCUGUUCAGGGCUCCAGCUUGCUCCCGUACUCCCAUUCAGUUCUCCAGUGGAAGGGCACAGAUUCGGCCUGGGCCUCCUGUUUCUCUCUCUCCAGUUCUACUUCCUGUAUCACCUUGGGUGACUUCAGUAUCCAUGAGGAUGAUGUGUCCGAAACUUGUCAGUUCCUUUGCCCCCCUCCCCAUCUUCUCCCAUGAGUUUGUCUCCUCACCGGCCUUAGAGUCCAUGGUCCAUCACUGAUAUAAAUUCAUCUACCUAAACUCUCUUCUGUUGUCUUGUCACAAACAGACAAGUUACGUGUGCUUUGUGACUUGCUAUCUCCCGCCUCUGGACUCCAAAAUCCUCGCGGGCAGGGCCUUCGUCUCCUUUGUUCCCUGCUGUAUCCCGAGUGCCUAGGACAUGGUUGGCACAUGAAAAAAAAGCCUCAUUCAAUGGAACAUUCCUUUUGUGUCUUCCUCUUGAGGAGCAGAUUACAGGGAAGCCUGAGAAUCUCUGUCCUUGCCCCUCAGAGUAUGCAGAGGAGAUGCAGGAAAAACAACACAUCCUAAAGACCCACAUCUGAACAAGUAAAGAAGCUUUUAUGCAAGAUGAAUCCGAUCAAAGUUGUCCAGUGGACAUGGUGCUGUCUCUGGUGCUCCUGAAAGGGGAAAGUUGGCAACUGCGUGACACUCACAGUGUCCCAUCUACUGCCUGGGCCCCCUCCUGUCAUGCGGCUGCAGGAAAGGAGCAGCUGGAACCAUCCUACCCUCCUCCACCCCACUUCGGACCCAGCUUCUAAACCUCGGGUCACUUGAACACCCUCAGGGUCCACUUGGAGGGGAAAGCCCCCCGGAGAGCUAGACUCUGGCCUGUCCUUCCUGGUGUACUGGUCCCACAGCCGCGGACCUGGAAAUAGGAGAAGGACCAAGUACUCCAAAGGUGUUUGUCCGAGCCGCGGUGGCUUAGCGAAGGACGGUCUUCUCGUUGAGCUGAGAGCUGGGCACCCCAGAGAGUCCACGGCAAGGUCCUCGGGAACUGGAAGAGGAACAGGUGGAGAAUUUGGUGUGCAGCUUGAGAUGAGGGUCUGAAGCUCCAAGGGGAGGCUUGGGCUGGAGACACGAUUUGCAAGUCGUCAGAAUACCUACAGCCUACACACCUGCAGGAAGAUACAGGAGGGGGUUUCAAAAGGAAACAGACAAUGAUGUCAAAUAUCUCAGGGCAGUCAAGUAAGAAAGAACCAACUGCCCACUGGCUUUAACAAUGAGGAGGUCAUUGACAGCUUUCGGAUAAGCGGUUUCUGUGGAUCUGCAAUGGCAGAAGCCAAAUCAUAUUUGUUGGAAGAUUGGAUGGACAGCCAGAAGUGGCAAAGCUGAAUGGAGAUGACUCCAGAAGUCUGGAUAAAAAGAAAUAAAGACAAUAACAGAGAGAUAGCUCGAGGAGACUGCAGGAUGGUGGGAGUUUUGUUUAUUGUUUUUAGGUUUGAAGACACUUGAACAUGAUUAAGUGAUAAUGAGAAGAAACCAGUAGUAGGGAAAAGCUGAAGAAACAGGAGAACAACGAAUCAUUCAUAGGACAAAUUUCUGGUUGGAAAUAGGGAAGAGUAAAUUCAAGAGCACUUUGGUGAUUCUGAUCUUGAAGCAACCAUCCUCCAAGACACCAGGGAAGGAAGGAUAUAUUUGUGAGUGGAGGGCAGGGAAGUGAGGGAGCUCAUGCCUGGUCAUCUCAAUUUUAUCUGUUAAAGAAACUGAGGCUACUUGAGGUGGGCUGGGGAGCAUGAGAAAAGUGACAAAAGUUUGAAGCUACCCUGGAGAAGAGGGGAAAAAGGAAACCGACUAACGAAACUGGCAAGGUUGGCUAGAAGCACUGGAGGUCCAGUUGAGACUGGAAAUCCUAAAUGUCUAGUAGCCCCAUUCCACCCCACUGUGUUUCUUUCUCUUAAUGCUUGGCUGCGAGCAUACAGAGCUGGAAAAGACAGAUCAAUUUGGGUUAAUUCAGGGUUGGGAAUUUAUAAGAUGGGGGUAAUAGCAGGACAAAAGGAUGAGGAGUCUGGGUUUUCUAGGUAGAAAGUAGGUGAAGGGAUGGAUUGUGGGAUCUGGGCAGAAGGGGAAAAGAUAGAGCAGGAAAGGACUGAAGCGAAGCAAAAAACUGAGAUAAAAUACUCAAGUUGAUGAAGAUCUUGUGAAGUCAAAGAACAGGUAGGGUCAGAAAGGGCUGGAAAGGCGGGCUGGAAAGACAAAGUGUGAUCAGAGAAUGCCUGCACUAAAAUAUGUUUUCCAAAACACUUUACCUCUGUUUCCACAUUGUUCUGUGAAAUUUAAAAGUGCAUCACAAAUGAAAACAUGAAUGUCUGGUGAGUUGUUUGUUACUUUGUGUUAGCUUUGCCCUUGGCUCUCUUCCCUAUGAUAAUCUAGUUCUCUUUUCACUGACAUAGGAAAAUGUGUACCAGGUUUUAAGAGUAUUAUUUCUCUAACUUUGUAGAGUAUAAUUUUCUGUAAUGAUUUCUCUAACUCUUAGCGUUGACCAUUUUAUAUGUAUAUGUGUAUUAUUACUAUUUCAUUUGUAUUUUAAAUGUAUAAUCUUGGGAAGGAAACCAGUGUUUUCUCUUCCAACCAGCACCUGUUAUAGGGAUAAGCAGGACUUCAAUAAUCUGCUUUCUCUGGCUUUGUCUUUCCCCUAAAUUUAAGUUGGUUAUAAGAAAAAUGAUAGGUUAUAUAAACCUCAAGAGGACAGAUCACAUCGACAGAGCCCACAUGACAAGGGACUAAUGGUAACAAAGUGGACCCAUGGGAUGAUGGAGGAUGUCAGGGAGGCUGUGCACACCAUUGUGACCUAGAUUGGAGCCGAGCCUGAAAGCUAGUUAGGUAGGCACCGUUUAGAUGGGCGUUGUGUGUAAAUAAGGUGUGGGUCGCCUCCACUCCAUCUAAGGCUGCUUCCGUUGUGCUUUUGGAAGCGAUGUUAAGAAUUAAGCAGGUGUAUAAUUUGAGCAUAGUUCAGUAGGAACACAAAUAUUUCAUUUGUUAUGCCUCAUUUUGCUAACUACGUAUUUAGCAAGCAUACAGAUUAGGUUGAAAGAGCAAUUUCGGGCAAUGGAUUAGAAUCCCAUUUGCAGAGCAAGUUAACCUAAGAAAUUUUGUUAGUCAGUAGAACUAAGGUGCUUCUCAAGAACUGUGUUCAAUUGUUUUAUAACUGGACAGAAUAAAGAUGGAAUUGACACAUGUGUAUCGGCCACCAGGAUCUACCAAAAAAAAAAUAGCAGAAGAAAGAAAAUGAGCAAGGAUUUAUCACUGGGUCUCCACACACAGGGUGCUCAGACCAGCUGGCAAGAAGAUUCUUGUCCCUUUGUCAAGUAUAUUCCUGCAAGAAUGAAAAUAGGGAGCGUGUCUGGUCCAUAGUAGGUGCUUAGUUAAGAGGCACGUCUGUUCUCACCUCCGUCCCUCUGGUGGAGGUUGUGUUGCUGGUCCCCACAUCUCAAGGCGUUAACAUUACCUAAUUCCCGUGCUCUCAGUCCAUGCUCAUCAAACCACCUGCUAAUGGUAAUUUGCCUUCCUGUGUAGACUUUUCUAAAAAAGAGCAACUCCCCAGCAUGCUGACUUAAAUAUUCCAGUUUGCUUAGCAGUUUUAUCUUUCCUUGUAAUUAACGAAAUAAUAUUCCACUUUAUUUACCAGUCUCAUGAGAUGGCUAAUUAGAGUAAGUUGCUGUCCCUGAUUCUGAUGAAUUUGGGAAGGAAAAUGUAAAAUUUUCCACCUUUAAAGAUGAUGAGCAGGUCUGGCUUCCACAGAAACACUGCGACUCAGAGAGACCCCGUAUGAUCUACUGUGAACCUCUCUCUUUGACAUUUUUUUCCUGUUUUAACAAAUGCCAUGUAUACCUUCUCAAAUCAUUAGGUUUCAGUGCCCAGAAUUCCACUAACUUGCCUGUAACUGAAGUAGCCUUGACCAUGGUAAGGGGUCUUGUGUGGAGGCAGUGGGACUGAAACUUUGGUCUCAGCUGGAAUGCUUGUGAAAAUGCAUAUUGCAGGCUGCCCCCUAGAGAUAAGAGUCUGCAUUUUUAGCAUAAUUGAUUCUGAUACACUAGUCAACAGACCCCACUUUGAGAAACAGCUUUAGAUGGGGGUGCUAGCUCUCUUAUGGCCAUGGGCUCUAGCAAGGGGUAUUUUCUGUUCUGAGAGCCAUGGGUUCCUCCUCUAACCAGAGUGAAGUCUGAUACACCCAGAGGAAAGGAAGUGGGGGGAAGUAAAGCCAGUGUGGAAUAACAGCAGAGAGGAACCUGGGAAAGGAGCUGGAAGACUCUGUACUGGAACCCCAGCUGUUUGCCUGAGUCCAGUUCGGGUCAUGGAGUGAGAUAGUUUGUGUGCCUAACAGGUUGCACUUGUUUAAAGGGAUGUUUUCCUUUCAUUUGGCAAAGGCUCCUUUGGCAAAAGGCAGAUAGUAAUGGCAAUAGCAUGCAGUGUUGUAAAUGUGUAUGUGGCACUAAGUCUACUUUCUCUUGUCCUAGCAGUCGACAGUAUUGGAAUUCUCCAAAUUCAGUGCCGGAAGUCUUUAUUUACUGGCACUUGGCAAUCUUAUCCAGAGAAUCAUAGAGUGCUAGAGCCAGGGCUAAUUCGCAGAGCACGGUGGAACCCCAUUUUAAAGAUGCAGAAGUUGAAGCGGAGGGAAGACGAGUGACUCACCAAGUCCCACAGCCUCGUGGAGGAGGAGCUGGGACAAGAAGACGGUCUCCUGACCUCAGUGCAGAGGCUCCUGCUGCCUGCUCCCAAACCACCACCAGGAGACAGCGCCUGCUGAAUCAGCGCAGAUGACUUAGAGAUAGGGUGGCCUGAUAGCUGUUUAGGAGCAUUUUAUCAUCUGGGAAGCAGACGCUGUGAGAUGCUUUGCAUUUCGAUUUCAUCCACUUAACUCUACAUAAAUCCUCGCUGCUUUAAGCAACCCACUUUUGGGGAUGAUUUUUCUUUCUUUCUUUCUUUUUUUUCAAACCAAUAAUCCUUCUAAGUCAGCAUUCCUCCUAAACUAAGAGCAAUCGCCAUCUAGUGGCUUGAAGAUCACAAUAAAAUUUCCCACAAAAGCUUUGUAUGUAGGCCAAAGGAACCAGGGAGUUUUUACCACCUGGAAGAGAACCUGCUGGAUCUUCACGUCCAACACCCUCAUGUUACAACUGAGAAAAAUGAGGCUCCGGAGAAGGAAGCAACGUGCUGAAGGCCUCACAGGAGAUCACUGGAGCCAGGAGUGCCCUUGACCACACGGAUGCCAUCAAGCCAAAGCAGUUCUCCCCACGGAAAAGCUCCAUCAAUGCGGUCGGUGGCUGGACGGACACCUGCUCUUGUCGAAUGGGCUGAACCGUGUGCUGUGGCUUCCAGUUGACAGGGUGUGCUGUCUGCCCCACCUUCAGCCACACGACUCUGCAUCCUGUCUGGCUGAGCAUCUCUUGCCCAGGAUACUUUUGUGUUCAGAGUGAGUCUCCCAACAGGCAGAACAUCUAAGCGUCUUCUGCAAGAAGUGAGGUGAUGCUGAGCGUAUGGGCACCAUACUCUGAAAACUACUGUUCCAGCCACGUGCUCGAUUGUUCUGUGGGCCGGCAGCAGCAGCAUCUGGGGGCUAGUCAGAAGCACAGGUUCCCAGGCACACACCAGCCCUACUGAUUCAGUGCUAGACAAGGGAUUAAAUAACAGAGAAAAUGCAGCUGGAGAAGUUGAUCGGCCCUCAAGCUUGGAAGGCCCUGAAGGACAUUUAUGAGUCACCCUGAGUGUGCCAAAUAUUGUGCACAGCUUGCAGAAAUACUCAAUGUCUACACUCAAGGCUCACAGCUUUUAUAUUGCCUGGAAAGUAGAUGCUGUGGAUCAGCGACUGGCAGCUCCCUUUCCUGUCCCAGUGGGCCUAAAGGAGUCCGUUUAUUUACCUGGCACCUUGAUCCCGAGGACAUAGCCCAACAUUUCUUUUUCUGUUCUCUUUCCCACCAAAGUUUCUUUGCCAGGGCUAAGCUCAGCAAAAGGGAAAAAAAGCCCAUAAAAGGAAAAAGCUGAUUGGCCUCAGCAUCACCAGAAUGAAGAUAUGAUGGCAAAACCUUCCAAUAAAAACCGCGCAGCUCAAUCGGGGGAGGGAGCCUACCUCAGCCGGUGCCUGGCUGGUGGCUCCCCGCUGGAGUGCUGUCCCUUGUCCUUCCUCUCUUCUCUUUGAGCAGUAAAGCAGUCUUUCACUUUGCCUCUCUGCCUCUGCUGAGAAUUCCUUCUCAACCGGCAGGCA